rnacentral:rRNA from 1 species
GACGAACGCUGGCGGCGUGCUUAACACAUGCAAGUCGAACGGAAAGGCCCUGCUUUUGUGGGGUUCUCGAGUGGCGAACGGGUGAGUAACACGUGAGUAACCUGCCCUUGACUUUGGGAUAACUUCAGGAAACUGGGGCUACUACCGGAUAGGAGCUCCUGCUGCAUGGUGGGGGUUGGAUAGUUUCGGCGGUUGGGGAUGGACUCGCGGCUUAUCAGCUUGUUGGUGGGGUAGUGGCUUACCAAGGCUUUGACGGGUAGCCGGCCUGAGAGGGUGACCGGCGACAUUGGGACUGAGAUACGGCCCAGACUCCUACGGGAGGCAGCAGUGGGGAAUAUUGCACAAUGGGCGGAAGCCUGAUGCAGAAACGCCGCGUGCGGGAUGACGGCCUUCGGGUUGUAAACCGCUUUCGCCUGUGACGAAGCGUGAGUGACGGUAAUGGGUAAAGAAGCACCGGCUAACUACGUG